AGAGUUUGAUCCUGGCUCAGGACGAACGCUGGCGGCGUGCUUAACACAUGCAAGUCGAACGAUGAAGCCUAGCUUGCUAGGUGGAUUAGUGGCGAACGGGUGAGUAAUACGUGAGUAACCUACCUUUAACUCUGGGAUAAGCCUGGGAAACUGGGUCUAAUACCGGAUACGACCAAUCUCCGCAUGGGGUGUUGGUGGAAAGCGUUAUGUAGUGGUUAUAGAUGGGCUCACGGCCUAUCAGCUUGUUGGUGAGGUAACGGCUCACCAAGGCGACGACGGGUAGCCGGCCUGAGAGGGUGACCGGCCACACUGGGACUGAGACACGGCCCAGACUCCUACGGGAGGCAGCAGUGGGGAAUAUUGCACAAUGGGCGCAAGCCUGAUGCAGCGACGCCGCGUGAGGGAUGACGGCCUUCGGGUUGUAAACCUCUGUUAGCAGGGAAGAAGAGAGAUUGACGGUACCUGCAGAGAAAGCGCCGGCUAACUACGUGCCAGCAGCCGCGGUAAUACGUAGGGCGCGAGCGUUGUCCGGAAUUAUUGGGCGUAAAGAGCUUGUAGGCGGUUUGUCGCGUCUGCUGUGAAAGGCCGGGGCUUAACUCCGUGUAUUGCAGUGGGUACGGGCAGACUAGAGUGCAGUAGGGGAGACUGGAAUUCCUGGUGUAGCGGUGGAAUGCGCAGAUAUCAGGAGGAACACCGAUGGCGAAGGCAGGUCUCUGGGCUGUAACUGACGCUGAGAAGCGAAAGCAUGGGGAGCGAACAGGAUUAGAUACCCUGGUAGUCCAUGCCGUAAACGUUGGGCACUAGGUGUGGGGGACAUUCCACGUUUUCCGCGCCGUAGCUAACGCAUUAAGUGCCCCGCCUGGGGAGUACGGCCGCAAGGCUA
rnacentral:rRNA from 1 species